rnacentral:rRNA from 1 species
GGCUGGACCUCUCGGGGUUACAGCCUUGCUGAAUUAUUCACCCUUGUCUUUUGCGUACUUCUUGUUUCCUUGGUGGGUUCGCCCACCACUAGGACAAACAUAAACCUUUUGUAAUUGCAAUCAGCGUCAGUAACAAAUUAAUAAUUACAACUUUCAACAACGGAUCUCUUGGUUCUGGCAUCGAUGAAGAACGCAGCGAAAUGCGAUAAGUAGUGUGAAUUGCAGAAUUCAGUGAAUCAUCGAAUCUUUGAACGCACAUUGCGCCCUUUGGUAUUCCAAAGGGCAUGCCUGUUCGAGCGUCAUUUGUACCCUCAAGCUUUGCUUGGUGUUGGGCGUCUUGUCUCUAGCUUUGCUGGAGACUCGCCUUAAAGUAAUUGGCAGCCGGCCUACUGGUUUCGGAGCGCAGCACAAGUCGCACUCUCUAUCAGCAAAGGUCUAGCAUCCAUUAAGCCUUUUUUCAACUUUUGACCUCGGAUCAGGUAGGGAUACCCGCUGAACUUAAGCAUAUCAUGCGGAGGGAUGAUUACACAAAUAUGAAGGCGGGCUGGAACCUCUCGGGGUUACAGCCUUGCUGAAUUAUUCACCCUUGUCUUUUGCGUACUUCUUGUUUCCUUGGUGGGUUCGCCCACCACUAGGACAA